AGUCGAACGGAAAGGCCUUUUCGGAGGUACUCGAGUGGCGAACGGGUGAGUAACACGUGGGUGAUCUGCCCUGCACUCUGGGAUAAGCCUGGGAAACUGGGUCUAAUACCGGAUAGGACCGCACUUUAGUGUGUGUGGUGGAAAGUUUUUUCGGUGUAGGAUGAGCCCGCGGCCUAUCAGCUUGUUGGUGGGGUAAUGGCCUACCAAGGCGGCGACGGGUAGCCGGACUGAGAGGUUGGUCGGCCACAUUGGGACUGAGAUACGGCCCAGACUCCUACGGGAGGCAGCAGUGGGGAAUAUUGCACAAUGGGCGCAAGCCUGAUGCAGCGACGCCGCGUGGGGGAUGACGGCCUUCGGGUUGUAAACUCCUUUCGCCAGGGACGAAGCGUUUUGUGACGGUACCUGGAGAAGAAGCACCGGCUAACUACGUGCCAGCAGCCGCGGUAAUACGUAGGGUGCAAGCGUUGUCCGGAAUUACUGGGCGUAAAGAGCUCGUAGGUGGUUUGUCACGUCGUCUGUGAAAUUCCACAGCUUAACUGUGGGCGUGCAGGCGAUACGGGCUGACUUGAGUACUGUAGGGGUAACUGGAAUUCCUGGUGUAGCGGUGAAAUGCGCAGGUAUCAGGAGGAACACCGAUGGCGAAGGCAGGUUAUUGGGCAGUUACUGA
rnacentral:rRNA from 1 species